UAGUCCACGCCGUAAACGAUGAGAACUAGAUGUCGGGGGGAAUCUGUCCUUCGGUGUCGCAGCUAACGCGUUAAGUUCUCCGCCUGGGGAGUACGCCGGCAACGGUGAAACUCAAAGGAAUUGACGGGGGCCCGCACAAGCGGAGGAACAUGUGGUUUAAUUCGAUGAUACGCGAGGAACCUUACCCGGGCUUAAAUGGGCCACGACCGGUCCAGAGAUGGACCUUCCCUUCGGGGCGUGGCUCAAGGUGCUGCAUGGUUGUCGUCAGCUCGUGCCGUGAGGUGUCGGGUUAAGUCCCAUAACGAGCGCAACCCCUACCCGUUAGUUGCCAUCGGGUCAUGCCGGGGACUCUAGCGGGACUGCCACCGUAAGGUGAGAGGAAGGCGGGGGAUGACGUCAAAUCAGCACGGCCCUUACGUCCGGGGCUACACACGUGUUACAAUGGCCGGUACAGAGGGCAGCCACCUGGCGACAGGGCGCGAAUCCCGAAAGCCGGUCCAAGUUCGGAUCGGAGUCUGCAACCCGACUCCGUGAAG
rnacentral:rRNA from 1 species